AUGAAAUUCUACUACUGCAUAUGAGAUAUAAUGACAAUAUACAAAGAAAAAUUCUCAAAUUACUAAGGAAAAUUUUGCCACAAUGAAACCUAUUUAAUCGAUAGAAGAUAUAUAAAUUUGCCCUCUUGUUUCUUAUAUUCAUGUGUUCUACAUGAUUUCUCAAAUAUUAGUUCCUUUCAGGUAGAUUCCUUGGGGUUUGAUUUGGAUCCACCAGGUAUUGUAUGUCCUAAAGGUAAUGCAAUUAAGUGA
rnacentral:misc_RNA from 1 species